rnacentral:rRNA from 1 species
ACGGAGGUGGCAAGCGUUACUCGGAAUCAUUGGGUGUAAAGGGCAAGUAGGCGGUUUAAUAAGUGAGGGGUGAAAUCUCCCGGCUCAAUCGGGAAACUGCCUUUCAAACUGUUAAACUUGAGGAUGGUAGAGGAAAGCGGAAUUUCCGGUGGUAGGGUUUAAUCGGCAGAUAUCGGGAAGAAUAUCAAAGGCUAAGGCAGCUUUCUGGGUUAGCUCUGAUGCUAGAUUGGGCGAGCUAGUUGUGAGGUCAG